AUAUCUAUGGUGUGAACAUUGCAAUAGGAGUGAUUUGAAGCGAUCCCAUGUUUCAUGAAAGAAUUCAGUAUCCUUUUGAUAAAAAUUAGAAAUUUCAGCUCUUAAUUC
rfam:Ricinus communis cultivar Hale ctg_1100012326322, whole genome shotgun sequence.